rnacentral:rRNA from 1 species
UUCCGGUUGAUCCCGCCGGACCCGACUGCUAUUUGGGUGAGAAUAAGCCAUGCGAGUUGAAUGGGAUACCUAAAGUUCCCAUAGCAAACUGCUCAGUAACACAUGAUCAACUUACCCUAUAGAGAAAAAUAACCUCGGGAAACUGAGGAUAAUGUUUCACAAUUGAAUUGGCUUGGAAAAGUUUUUCAAUGAAAAGGAUAAAAAAAAUGGUUUUUAUCUGCUAUAGGAUAGGAUCGUGUUCGAUUAUGGUUGUUGGUGAGAUAAUGGCUCACCAAGCCGAUAAUCGAUAGGGGCCGUGAGAGCGGGAGCCCCGAGAUGGGUACUGAGACAACGACCCAGGCCUUACGAGGCGCAGCAGGCGCGGAACCUCCGCAAUACACGAAAGUGUGACGGGGUUACCCAAAGUGUUCAAUAGAACUGUGGUAGGUGAGUAAUGUCCCCUACUAGAAAGGAGAGGGCAAGGCUGGUGCCAGCCGCCGCGGUAAAACCAGCUCUUCAAGUGGUCGGGAUAAUUAUUGGGCUUAAAGUGUCCGUAGCCGGUUUAGUAAGUUCCUGGUAAAAUCGGGUAGCUUAACUAUCUGCAUGCUAGGAAUACUGCUAUACUAGAGGGCGGGAGAGGUCUGAGGUACUACAGGGGUAGGGGUGAAAUCUUAUAAUCCUUGUAGGACCACCAGUGGCGAAGGCGUCAGACUGGAACGCGCCUGACGGUGAGGGACGAAAGCCAGGGGAGCGAACCGGAUUAGAUACCCGGGUAGCCCUGGCCGUAAACGAUGCAUACUAGGUGAUGGUACGGCCAUGAGCCGUAUCAGUGCCGUAGGGAAACCGUUAAGUGUGCCGCCUGGGAAGUACGGUCGCAAGGCUAAAACUUAAAGGAAUUGGCGGGGGAGCACCACAAGGGGUGAAGCCUGCGGUUCAAUUGGAUUCAACGCCGGGAAUCACUAGUGCGGCCG